rnacentral:tRNA from 1 species
GGGUGUAUAGCUCAGAGGUAGACCAGCUGACUGCAGAUCUGCAGGUCCAUAGUUCAGUUCCGUGUGUGCCCU